CAGGAAAACUUGGCAGAGCUUUGCUGUGCCUCAGCCCUGCCCUGCUUCUGCAGGGCUGAUUGAUCAGCCCAGGGCUGCAGAAAUUGGGGCAACACAAACCCCCAAGACAUUGUUUUCCAGACCAUGAACUGAUGCUUUUGGCUGCUGCAGAAGCUGCCCCAUCUCGUCUGAAGCUGCUGAAAAGCCUCUGCCAGUGCCUUGAUGUUCUCCCCCCACAAGGGAAUUAAUGUCUGGGAAGCAAUGGAGAGCACAGCACAAAGAGCAGGCAUGGUC
rnacentral:lncRNA from 1 species